rnacentral:tRNA from 1 species
UCCUUGAUGGCUCAGAUGGUAAAGAAUCUGCCUGCAAUGUGGGAGACCCAGGUUCGAUUCCUGGGUCAGGAA